rnacentral:rRNA from 1 species
UAUUGGUCAAUGGACGAGAGUCUGAACCAGCCAAGUAGCGUGAAGGAUGACUGCCUUAUGGGUUGUAAACUUCUUUUAUACGGGAAUAAAGUGGAGUAUGCAUACUCCUUUGUAUGUACCGUAUGAAUAAGGAUCGGCUAACUCCGUGCCAGCAGCCGCGGUAAUACGGAGGAUCCGAGCGUUAUCCGGAUUUAUUGGGUUUAAAGGGAGCGUAGGCGGGUGCUUAAGUCAGUUGUGAAAGUUUGCGGCUCAACCGUAAAAUUGCAGUUGAUACUGGGCGCCUUGAGUGCAGCAUAGGUAGGCGGAAUUCGUGGUGUAGCGGUGAAAUGCUUAGAUAUCACGAUGAACUCCGAUUGCGAAGGCAGCUUACUGGACUGUAACUGACGCUGAUGCUCGAAAGUGUGGGUAUCAAACAGG